rnacentral:rRNA from 1 species
GACGAACGCUGGCGGCGUGCUUAACACAUGCAAGUCGAACGGAAAGGCCCUGCUUUUGUGGGGUGCUCGAGUGGCGAACGGGUGAGUAACACGUGAGUAACCUGCCCUUGACUUUGGGAUAACUUCAGGAAACUGGGGCUAAUACCGGAUAGGAGCUCCUGCUGCAUGGUGGGGGUUGGAAAGUUUCGGCGGUUGGGGAUGGACUCGCGGCUUAUCAGCUUGUUGGUGGGGUAGUGGCUUACCAAGGCUUUGACGGGUAGCCGGCCUGAGAGGGUGACCGGCCACAUUGGGACUGAGAUACGGCCCAGACUCCUACGGGAGGCAGCAGUGGGGAAUAUUGCACAAUGGGCGGAAGCCUGAUGCAGCAACGCCGCGUGCGGGAUGACGGCCUUCGGGUUGUAAACCGCUUUCGCCUGUGACGAAGCGUGAGUGACGGUAAUGGGUAAAGAAGCACCGGCUAACUACGUGCCAGCAGCCGCGGUGAUACGUAGGGUGCGAGCGUUGUCCGGAUUUAUUGGGCGUAAAGGGCUCGUAGGUGGUUGAUCGCGUCGGAAGUGUAAUCUUGGGGCUUAACCCUGAGCGUGCUUUCGAUACGGGUUGACUUGAAGAAAGGUAGGGGAGAAUGGAAUCCUGGUGGAGCGGUGGAAUGCGCAGAUAUCAGGAGGAACACCAGUGGCGAAGGCGGUUCUCUGGGCCUUUCCUGACGCUGAGGAGCGAAAGCGUGGGGAGCGAACAGGCUUAGAUACCCUGGUAGUCCACGCUGUAAACGGUGGGUACUAGGUGUGGGGUCCAUUCCACGGGUUCCGUGCCGUAGCUAACGCUUUAAGUACCCCGCCUGGGGAGUACGGCCGCAAGGCUAAAACUCAAAGGAAUUGACGGGGCCCCGCACAAGCGGCGGAGCAUGCGGAUUAAUUCGAUGCAACGCGUAGAACCUUACCUGGGUUUGACAUGGAUCGGGAGCGCUCAGAGAUGGGUGUGCCUCUUUUGGGGUCGGUUCACAGGUGGUGCAUGGCUGUCGUCAGCUCGUGUCGUGAGAUGUUGGGUUAAGUCCCGCAACGAGCGCAACCCUUGUUCACUGUUGCCAGCACGUUAUGGUGGGGACUCAGUGGAGACCGCCGGGGUCAACUCGGAGGAAGGUGGGGAUGACGUCAAGUCAUCAUGCCCCUUAUGUCCAGGGCUUCACGCAUGCUACAAUGGCUGGUACAGAGAGUGGCGAGCCUGUGAGGGUGAGCGAAUCUCGGAAAGCCGGUCUCAGUUCGGAUUGGGGUCUGCAACUCGACCUCAUGAAGUCGGAGUCGCUAGUAAUCGCAGAUCAGCAACGCUGCGGUGAAUACGUUCCCGGGGCU